UCUAAUAUGGCAGAUUAGUGCAUUGGAUUUAAACCCCAAAAAUAAAGCUUACACUUUUUUUAGAA
rnacentral:tRNA from 1 species